UUAAUUGCUGCUGUAUUUGCACUCCAUCGUUUUACCCUGAAAACCCUAAACCCUAAAUCAGAGCUCCAACAAUGGCAGACCUCCCAAUCUCAGUCGACAGUAUUAAGCGAUUCUGGCACUCCCAGGUUCACGACCCAGAAAAGUGGGCUUUCAACAUGAGAUUUUUGCGUGCUGCAGGAAUGUUUGGGGGCUCAAUCAUUCUUCUACGAAACUUUGGAGAUGCUAUUGCUUUGUGAAUCUGGAUGAUGGGAUUUGAAGCGUGCUUUACGCUUGAAUUACAAACUAGUUUCCUAUCUCUCUUAGCCUUUGCUGUGUCUUAGUAAACUCAAGCCCUUAGUAAUUUAAGAUCUUACUUUUCAUUAGUAUUAGUAUCAAGUUUUGGCCAUACACAGCAUACCACAGAGAGUUAUAUCAUUUUGGUUUGAAGUUUGAAUUUAAUGUUAGUUGCAAAGGCUACUUGAAAAUUGUUGCCUUUGCUUUACCUUUUUUUUGUUCUAAUUUCAGUUGAAUGAAAUAAAUCUUUGGUUCAGUCA